UACGGAGGGUGCAAGCGUUGUUCGGAAUUAUUGGGCGUAAAGGGCAGGUAGGUUGUCUUGUAAGUCUGCUGUGAAAUCCCUGAGCUUAACUCAGGAAGUGCGGCGGAUACUGCAGGACUAGAGUAUCGGAGGGGUGCGUGGAAUUCCCGGUGUAGCGGUGAAAUGCGUAGAUAUUCGGCGGAACACCAGUGGCGAAGGCGACUCACUGGCCCGAUACUGACGCUGAGGCGCGAAAGCGUGGGGAGCAAACAGG
rnacentral:rRNA from 1 species